CCUACGGGAGGCAGCAGUGGGGAAUCUUGGACAAUGGGCGCAAGCCUGAUCCAGCCAUGCCGCGUGAGUGAUGAAGGCCUUAGGGUCGUAAAGCUCUUUCGCCAGGGAUGAUAAUGACAGUACCUGGUAAAGAAACCCCGGCUAACUCCGUGCCAGCAGCCGCGGUAAUACGGAGGGGGUUAGCGUUGUUCGGAAUUACUGGGCGUAAAGCGUACGUAGGCGGGUUGUUAAGUUAGAGGUGAAAUCCCAGGGCUCAACCCUGGAACUGCCUUUAAUACUGGCAACCUAGAGUUCGAGAGAGGUGAGUGGAAUUCCGAGUGUAGAGGUGAAAUUCGUAGAUAUUCGGAGGAACACCAGUGGCGAAGGCGGCUCACUGGCUCGAUACUGACGCUGAGGUACGAAAGUGUGGGGAGCAAACAGGAUUAGAUACCCUUGUAGUC
rnacentral:rRNA from 1 species